AACGAACGCUGGCGGCAGGCCUAACACAUGCAAGUCGAGCGAAGCCUUCGGGCUUAGCGGCGGACGGGUGAGUAACGCGUGGGAACGUGCCCUUUGGUACGGAAUAGCCCCGGGAAACUGGGAGUAAUACCGUAUGUGGUCGAGAGACGAAAGAUUUAUCGCCAAAGGAUCGGCCCGCGUUGGAGUAGGUAGUUGGUGGGGUAAUGGCCUACCAAGCCGACGAUCCAUAGCUGGUUUGAGAGGAUGAUCAGCCACACUGGGACUGAGACACGGCCCAGACUCCUACGUGAGGCAGCAGUGGUGAAUCUUAGACAAUGGGGGAAACCCUGAUCUAGCCAUGCCGCGUGAUCGAUGAAGGCCUUAGGGUUGUAAAGAUCUUUCAGUGGGGAAGAUAAUGACUGUACCCACAGAAGAAGCCCCGGCUAACUCCGUGCCAGCCGCCGCAGUAACAC
rnacentral:rRNA from 1 species